rnacentral:tRNA from 1 species
GUCAGGAUAGCUCAGUUGGUAGAGCNGAGG